rnacentral:rRNA from 1 species
AAAUUGAUAAUUUUAUUAAAAAAAAAUUAAUUAUUAAAAUUUUUUUAAAUAAAAAAAAAAUUAAUAUUAAUAAAUAUGUUAAGGGGUUAAAGUAUUUAUUAAGAAAUAAUUUUUAUAUUUAUAGUUAAAUAGUAUAUUAUUAGAAAAUUGAAAUAUUUAAAAUAGUUAUUUUAAAAAAAGUAAAUUUUAUUUAUUGUAUCUUGUGUAUCAGAGUUUAUUAAUUAAAUUUUAUUAAUUUUAAUUUUUUCGAAUUUAAAAGAGUUAAAUGAUUAAAAAAGUUAUUGUUGAAAAAAUAUUUUUUAUAAUUAUUUAGAAAUGAAAUGUUAAUCGUUUUUGAAUAUAUUUAGUUUUUUUAGAAAAAUAUUUAAUUUUGAAAUUAAUUUUUAAUAAAAAUAAAUUAUUUUAAUAUUAAAAAAUUAUUUUUUUAUAUUUUAAGGGAUAAGCUUUAAAAUAAAAUUUUAUAAUGUUAAUAAUUUUUAAUUUAAAAAAAAGUAAAAUUUAUAUUGUUUAUAUUUUUUAAUUUUUUAUAAAUAAUUUUUUUAAAUAAAAUAAAAUUUAAAAUUUAUAUUUAAUUUUUUAUAAAAAUAUUUUUUUUAAUUAUAAUUAUUUAAUAAUUAUGAUAAAAUUAGUAUAUUAAUUAAUUUUAAUAAUAUAAAAUAUUAAAGGUAAUUUUAUUUUAGGAAUUAGGCAAAAUUAUUUUUAAAAAUUAAAUAAAUAAAUUUUUAUUUAUAUUUUUUUUAUAAAUUUAAAUAUUCACUUGUUUAUUAAAAACAUGUCUUUUUGAAUUAAUAAUUUAAAGUUUGAUCUGCCCACUGAAAAAAAAAAUUUAAAGGGCUGCAGUAUUUUGACUGUACAAAGGUAGCAUAAUAAAUAGUUUUUUAAUUGAUGACUAGUAUGAAUGAUUUGAUGAAAUAUAAACUGUCUUAAUUAAAUUAAUUUAGAACUUAAUUUUUUAUUAAAAAAGAUAAAAUAAAAAUAAAAGACGAGAAGACCCUAUAAAGUUUAAUAUUAUUUUUAAUAUAAAUUAUUUAUUAAUUAUUAUAUUAUUUAUAUUUAAAAAUUAAUAUUUUAUUGGGGUGAUAGAAAAAUUAAAAAAACUUUUUUUAAAAAUUUAAAUAAAAAUAAUUAGAUUUUUAAUGAUCCAAUAUUAUUGAUUAUAAGAUUAAAUUACUUUAGGGAUAACAGCGUAAUUUUUAUUUUUAGUACAUAUAAAAAUAAGAGUUUGCGACCUCGAUGUUGAAUUAAGAUAAAUUUUAAAUGCAAAAGUUUAAAUAAUUUGGUCUGUUCGACCAUUAAAUCUUACAUGAUUUGAGUUUAAACCGGUGUAAGCCAGGUUGGUUUCUAUCUUUAUUUAAAAUUAAUAAUUUAGUUCGAAAGGAUUAAUUAUUAAAAAUAGUUUUUAUUUAAUGAAUUGAAUUUUAUUAAUUAAAGUAAAUAAAA